GAAAUGCGAUAAGUAAUGUGAAUUGCAGAAUUCAGUGAAUCAUCGAAUCUUUGAACGCACAUUGCGCCCGCCAGUAUUCUGGCGGGCAUGCCUGUUCGAGCGUCAUUUCAACCAUCAAGCCCCCGGCUUGUGUUGGGGACCUGCGGCUGCCCGCAGGCCCUGAAAACCAGUGGCGGGCUCGCUGUCACACCGAGCGUAGUAGCAUACAUCUCGCUCAGGGCGUGCUGCGGGUUCCGGCCGUUAAAAGCCUUUUUUUACCCAAGGUUGACCUCGGAUCAGGUAGGAAUACCCGCUGAACUUAAGC
rnacentral:misc_RNA from 1 species